rnacentral:rRNA from 1 species
UACGUAGGGCGCGAGCGUUGUCCGGAAUUAUUGGGCGUAAAGAGCUCGUAGGCGGCCUGUCGCGUCCGCUGUGAAAACCCGGGGCUUAACCCCGGGCCUGCAGUGGAUACGGGCAGGCUGGAGGCAGGCAGGGGAGAACGGAAUUCCCGGUGUAGCGGUGAAAUGCGCAGAUAUCGGGAAGAACACCAAGGGCGAAAGCACUUUGCUGGGCCGAAACUGACACUGAGAGACGAAAGCUAGGGUAGCGAAUGGG